GAGGGUAUAGCUCAGAGGUAGAGUGCAUGCCUAGUAGGCGCAAGGUCCUGGGUUCAAUCCCUAGUGCCUCCG
rnacentral:tRNA from 1 species